rnacentral:rRNA from 1 species
GAUGAACGCUGGCGGCGUGCCUAAUACAUGCAAGUCGAGCGAAUGGAUUAAGAGCUUGCUCUUAUGAAGUUAGCGGCGGACGGGUGAGUAACACGUGGGUAACCUGCCCAUAAGACUGGGAUAACUCCGGGAAACCGGGGCUAAUACCGGAUAACAUUUUGAACCGCAUGGUUCGAAAUUGAAAGGCGGCUUCGGCUGUCACUUAUGGAUGGACCCGCGUCGCAUUAGCUAGUUGGUGAGGUAACGGCUCACCAAGGCAACGAUGCGUAGGCGAACUGAGAGGGUGAUCGGCAACACUGGGACUGGGACACGGCCCAGACUCCUACGGGAGGCAGCAGUAGGGAAUCUUCCGCAAUGGACGAAAGUCUGACGGAGCAACGCCGCGUGAGUGAUGAAGGCUUUCGGGUCGUAAAACUCUGUUGUUAGGGAAGAACAAGUGCUAGUUGAAUAAGCUGGCACCUUGACGGUACCUAACCAGAAAGCCACGGCUAACUACGUGCCAGCCGCCGCAGUAA